UACGUAGGGGGCAAGCGUUGUCCGGAUUUAUUGGGCGUAAAGAGUGCGUAGGCGGCCAGGUAGGUCCGUUGUGAAAACUCGAGGCUUAACCUCGAGAUGUCAUCGGAAACCAUUUGGCUAGAGUCCGGAAGAGGAGAGUGGAAUUCCUGGUGUAGCGGUGAAAUGCGCAGAUAUCAGGAGGAACACCGGUGGCGAAGGCGGAUCUCUGGGCCUGUCCUGACGCUCAGGCGCGAAAGCUAGGGGAGCAAACAGG
rnacentral:rRNA from 1 species